rnacentral:tRNA from 2 species
GCCCGUGUGGCGGAAUCGGUAGACGCAGCGGAUUCAAAAUCCGCCGCCGCAAGGCUUGCCGGUUCGAGUCCGGCCACGGGUACCA